UACGUAGGGUGCGAGCGUUGUCCGGAAUUAUUGGGCGUAAAGGGCUCGUAGGCGGUUUGUCGCGUCGGGAGUGAAAACCAGGUGCUUAACACCUGGCUUGCUUUCGAUACGGGGCAGACUAGAGGUAUUCAGGGGAGAACGGAAUUCCUGGUGUGAGCGGUGAAAUGCGCAGAGUAUCAGGAAGAACACCCCGUGGCGAAGGCGGCUCUCUGGUACGUGACUGACGCUGAGACGCGAAAGCGUGGGGAGCAAACAGG
rnacentral:rRNA from 1 species